rnacentral:lncRNA from 1 species
AAACAUAUGGAUGCUCAAUUGCUCCGGUGCCAUUUGUUUAAAAGGCUAUCAUUCCUGCAUGGAAUUGUUUUUUGCUCCUUUGUCAAAAAUCAGUUGCCACCAAAAAUGGCAGCGUAGGGAAAUCCCAAAUCCCAUUCCUCCACUAAAGCAAUGAUUAAACUGGCAAAACCAGUCAGGCUGAAUUUUUUGGAACUCUAGCAUAUAAUCAAAGACUUACAACACCCAGGGGGACUUCUUUCUUAAUAAAGAAGUUGUUAAAUUUCAGCAAAAGAGCGUCGUGAUGUUUAACUGACCUGCUUCCAUCUCCUGGUCCCAGCUCCGUGAGGGCUGUGGAGGUGGCAUCUCCUGCUGCAGCUUGCUGGACUCUGAGAGCAACAUGGACCUCAUUCUCAAGGACCUGUGGCUGUAUUUUUGCUCCUUCGUGGAUUCCUGGUCACCCCUGCAGGACCGACUCAAGGGCUUGUCUUUGUUCCACCCCCUUGGACCUCUCCCAGGGAUGCUAUGUGCCCAACAUAUUUAAAGGCACAUGUGGUAUCUGCAGCCACCUGGAGCAAAGAGUGCACACCAUGGAAAGCAAUAGUCACACAGAAAAGCCUGGAAGGAAGACGCUGGGGAAGGAGACACUGGGAGGAAUAAGGGGCUUUGAAAAGCCCCUGCAUAUCCCGGGGAACCUAGAAAGCCACAAACAUAGGCAGGGCUGGACACAUGCCCAUGAAAACCUGAGAGAGCCUAAGCUUCCACUUCUGCCUAAUGCUGUGGCUCCAUGAGAAGAGGAAGUGAAGGUGGCGGCUGUGGUAAACGGCCUGGAAAGGCACUGAAGGACCACUCCAACACAGAGCCAAUCUGCAAAGACCAGGAGAGGGCUGGUUGGUUGGUUGGUUGGUUGGUUGGUUGGGUUUUGGCCCCAGGCAUUUAAGAAAAUCUCUGCCAAGUCAUUCAACAUAAUGGAACAGAGACUUCAGUGACCGCACAUGACAAAGAACACAGCCUUGACCCACAAUGUUUAGGAAAAGCCUCUAAAUUAAACAAUCCAAAUGAGAGCAACAAUAAACCCUGGCUGGAGGUGGGGGCAUUGUAAUUUCCAAAGUUGCCAUGCCAUCAUAUAUUAAAUGUCCACUUUUCAACAAAAAAAAUUUAUGAUUUACUUUGCAAAGAAAAAAGAAAGCAUAGCCAUUCACAGGGAGAUGAGAAAUUAAUAGAAAAGUGUCCGUACAAGAUAUGACAGUUACUGGACAAUGACUGUAAAUCAACUGUCUUAAAUGAGCUACAACAGUUAAAGAAAACCAUGGACAAAGAAUUAAAGGAAUCUAGGAAAAUGCUGUCUUAUGAAAUAAAGGAUAUCAAUAAAGAGAUAGAAAUUAUAAAAAAGAAUCAAAUAGAAAUUCUGAAGGUUAUAACUGCACAUAUUGGUUAACGAAUCCGACUAGGAACCAUGAGGUUUCAGGUUCGGUCCCUGCCCUUGCUCAGUGGGUUAACGAUCCGGCGUUGCCGUGAGCUGUGGUGUAGGUUGCAGACGCGGCUCGGAUCCC